GUGAGGAAUUUUGCGCAAUGGCCGCAAGGCUGACGCAGCAACGCCGCGUGGGUGAUGAAGGCCUUCGGGUCGUAAAGCCCUGUCAGGUGGGAAGAAAGGCUUGGAGAAGCAACGCUUUGAGUUUGACGGUACCACCAGAGGAAGCACCGGUUAACUCCGUGCCAGCAGCCGCGGUAAUACGGAGGGUGCGAGCGUUAUUCGGAAUUACUGGGCGUAAAGCGCGUGUAGGCGGGGAUGCAAGUCUGAUGUGAAAGCCCUGGGCUUAACCUGGGAAGUGCAUUGGAAACUGCAUUUCUUGAGUACUGGAGAGGAAGGGGGAAUUCCCGGUGUAGAGGUGAAAUUCGUAGAGAUCGGGAGGAAUACCAGUGGCGUAGGCGCCCUUCUGGACGGUAACUGACGCUGAGACGCGAAAGCGUGGGGAGCAAACAGGAUUAGAAACCCCUGUAGUCC
rnacentral:rRNA from 1 species